rnacentral:lncRNA from 1 species
UUGGGUCAAAUUAAUUUUAUUAUGCUCCAUGAUGAAUUGCCACCAGUGCAACAUCCUAUUCACUGUACAUUUCAAAAAUUCACAUACUAAAAAAUUCAGUUCGAUAAAUGGAAAACUGAAUGAUUGAGAAGUUCUUACGGAUUUCAUACGUACAAGUGGCUAGCCAAUAUUGUCUAUGCACAUAGAGUGUUGAUACAAAAGCCUCAUGCUAGCUUGUUAAUUGCUAAGGCUAUCUGGACAGCCAUUUAACCAGAAUAUAUAAGAGGCCUUCAUUACAAUGUUUAGCAACGGUGCACCAGUAUCAUGAAAUGCUAUCUUCUGCUCAUAGUGCAAGUGGCGGAGUGCUGAAGCAUGCAGUUAUGAGUAACUUAACUGCCAUUGCAGUCUUUAUGCCUGAAAUUUAUCAUGUACAAACACUACUUUAAAGUAAAUAUUAACCUGGACACCACACAAUGUGAGUGUACUUUUUGUAUGAAUAAAGAGAAAUAGAAAAACCAAAAGCUAUCUUUGGCCAGUAUCUACAAAUCAAAGUUUUAUUCAAUAAUGUAACUUCAGAGCUCCCAAAACCUGGAACAGAAAUUGGAUUAAUGAACUGUGAUGCUUAACUAUCAGCUAUAUUACAGAAAUUCCAAUUCUGGGAACAUAACAGCUAAACAUAUCUAGUAAGUAACAUGUUAGGAAAACCUCUAGGCCUCGUCUGCUUAAUUUUAAAAUGCCCUAUAUGCAGUAAAAAUACGGGAGCAGUGCCAGAAGUUAUAUGAAAGCCAUACAAAUAUUUUCCUUAUACGUAAGUUCUUAACUCCCCUGCCAUUAGCUACCCCAGGCUGCACUUGCACUCGAUCCAAUGCUCACGCCAUUACAGCCGCAAAGCUAGUAGGAAGUGUUCCCAGCAGCAGAGGGCGACGCGAAAGUUACUGCAAGAAAGUGAGACCACUUGGAAAUUUCUUCCUCAAGUUAUGUGCUUAAAUUACUUUCGGAAGGAAGUUAGCAUCCUCUGAAUAAUUUAACUACAACCUUACCUCUCCCACUACUUUUCAGCAACUUUCCUUUCCUCUCAUAUGACUAAAUUAAUUCACUAAAGACUAGGUUAUAACUGGGUUAGAAAUCCAAGCCGUAUCAUGCAGGUCCAGCCUGCCAAGAUCAGGUCAACACUGGGUUUCAGUCAACAAAAUUCCGAUAACUUAAAUUUAGUUUGAUACCUUGACUACAGUCAAAGACCCAGGACACUAUGCAUUAACUAUGCUCCAAGUAUGACUGACUUAACUAAACAUUCUGUGUCAGAUAAUGUGGUUUUUAAAAAAAUUUUCUACCUGAAAAUUACAGUAAGUACAGUAUUAAUGCUGCAGAUAUUAAAUACCUACAUAGCAUAGAUUAGUAUUCUGUAAUAGGCAGAUAUGCCAAAGUUUACUGCACUACGAAGUACAACUUAUAUAAAUGUGCAAGCUGUGAAAUGAGAAUCCCACUUUCCGUCCACUUAUUCAAAUAUUAUUCUU